rnacentral:rRNA from 1 species
GAUGAACGCUGGCGGCGUGCCUAAUACAUGCAAGUCGAGCGAACGGACGAGAAUCUUGCUUCUCUGCUGUUAGCGGCGGACGGGUGAGGAACACGUGGAUAACCUACCUAUAAGACUGGGAUAACUUCGGGAAACCUGAUCUCAUACCGGAUAAUAUUUUGAACCGCAUGGUUCAAAAGUGAAAGACGGUCUUGCUGUCACUUAUAGAUGGAUCCGCGCUGCAUUAGCUAGUUGGUAAGGUAACGGCUUACCAAGGCAACGAUGCAUAGCCGACCUGAGAGGGUGAUCGGCCACACUGGAACUGAGACACGGUCCAGACUCCUACGGGAGGCAGCAGUAGGGAAUCUUCCGCAAUGGGCGAAAGCCUGACGGAGCAACGCCGCGUGAGUGAUGAAGGUCUUCGGAUCGUAAAACUCUGUUAUUAGGGAAGAACAUAUGUGUAGGUAACUGUGCACAUCUUGACGGUACCUAAACAGAAAGCCACGGCUAACUACGUG